GCGCCGUGUACCUGUACAAUAGCAAGGAUCGCGUGGACGAAAUUCGCCGCGCUUGAUUCAGCGAUUUUAUUCGGCGGUCGUGGAUCGAUAGGAGGAUUCGCGCCGCGAGGCGCGGUCGGCGAGAGGCGACAGCGGGCCGGUAGAUGGCGCCACUGGUGUUGUUAGCCGAGCCGGGUUACCCGGCCUGAAUUUCUCUACGCAUGCGCGCAGAAUGCACCCACCAAAGAAGUAGUUACACGAGAGAAAAGGGUGAGACGUACAUCGGCCAUCGACCAAAUAUUUUCUUGAGAAAUUCGUGAAAGCGAAAGGAAAGCGAAAUCAUUCAUUUCACAUUCCGCACGCAUGCGCGAGAGAAUCCGGCCCGGCCAAUACAUUGGACACUCGAUGACAGUAGCUCUUGGACGCGCACAAUGUGUAGGUGUGUCGUGUGGUCGUAUGAUUGUAAACGAGAUCGGAAACUUGUCAGCCGUUGUCGUCCGUUCGACGAGUGUACGCGCACGUAUUCGUCGGAUAUUUCGCCGCGGCGGUAGCCAGCGAUACGACCGCGGUGCGAGGGUUCGUCUGAUCUCCCUCCGUGCUCCGAGGUAAUCUCAUCCGUACGCGCGCGCGAGCGAGCAAACGAGCGUGCUUGCGUGCGUGCGUGCGUGCGUGCGCGCGCGCGCGCACGCGUGUCAAAAGGUACGUGUACGCGAGGUACAUACAUACGCGCGCAGUAGAUAACGCACCUUCUCGCGCGGUGUGUCAGUGUCGUGUGUGCGCGAGAUCGUGAGUGCUCUCGUGAGAGAGUCGCCGUGAACGUUUCAAGUGGCAAGUUUCGGUAGCGCGCGCGAGAGGUGAUGAAACGGUGCGCUCGUGUGCGAAACGAGAACAAAGUGUGAUCGAGCGAGCGAGAGUGCGCGUCGACGACGACGACGGUACUGAUAGUGCAACUCGUCAACCGCGAACGGCGCACAGCCACCGGGCUGACCUGUCUGUCCCGUGCGCUUGCAUGCCACGCUCCGACGACGACGACGACGACGACGACGACGACGACGACGAGGACGAGGACGACGACGCAGCAAGAAUCGGGGAGCUACCCGCUGGAGACGCCUCGCUCGCGCUGCUUACCGAGGUGGGCCGUUUCGCUGAUACUGUACACAUUUCUAAAUUGACGAUGAAAAUCGAAACAUCCCAGGAUAUUACAUAGGCAGCGUAGAGAGAGAGAGAGAGAGAGAGAGAGAGAGAGAGAGAGAGAGAGAGAGAGAGAGAGAA